rnacentral:rRNA from 1 species
AACGAACGCUGGCGGCAUGCCUAACACAUGCAAGUCGAACGAGACCUUCGGGUUUAGUGGCGCACGGGUGCGUAACGCGUUGGAACCUGCCCUUAGGUUCGGAAUAACUCCCCGAAAGGGGUCCUAAUACCGGAUAUUGUCUUCGGACCAAAGAUUUAUCGCCUUUGGAUGGGCUUGCGUUGGAUUAGCUAGUUGGCAGGGUAAAAGCGUAUCAAUGCGACGAUCCAUAGCUGGUCUGAGAGGAUGAUCAGCCACACUGGGACUGAGACACGGCCCAGACUCUUACGGGAGGCAGCAGUGGGGAAUAUUGGACAAGGGGGGAAAGGCUGAUCCAGCAAUGACGGGUGAGUGAUGAAGGCCGUAGGGUUGUAAAGCUAUUUUACACGGGAUGAUAAUGACAGUACCGGGAGAAUAAGCUCCGGCUAACUCCGUG